ACCACUGGUGGGAGGCGCUGUAUUUAAUUGUUGGAGUCAAUGAUCUUGAGGUCCAACUGUGACAACAUCUACAUACCUGCAGCAGCCGUCCUACUGACUUGUACAUUAAUAGCCGACAAAUUGAACUGUGUCAUCUUGGAAGCGUGUGUCAACAGAAUUCUAUCCAACCGCCAGUCGGUGACAUUGCCAGAAUUAAAACUGCAUUGGGCCACUCACAGGAAGCUCCUUAUUUAUGGACCACUGGUGGGAGGCGCUGUAUUUAAUUGUUGGAGUCAAUGAUCUUGAGGUCCAACUGUGACAACAUCUACAUACCUGCAGCAGCCGUCCUACUGACUUGUACAUUAAUAGCCGACAAAUUGAACUGUGUCAUCUUGGAAGCGUGUGUCAACAGAAUUCUAUCCAACCGCCAGUCGGUGACAUUGCCAGAAUUAAAACUGCAUUGGGCCACUCACAGGAAGCUCCUUAUUUAUGGACCACUGGUGGGAGGCGCUGUAUUUAAUUGUUGGAGUCAAUGAUCUUGAGGUCCAACUGUGACAACAUCUACAUACCUGCAGCAGCCGUCCUACUGACUUGUACAUUAAUAGCCGACAAAUUGAACUGUGUCAUCUUGGAAGCGUGUGUCAACAGAAUUCUAUCCAACCGCCAGUCGGUGACAUUGCCAGAAUUAAAACUGCAUUGGGCCACUCACAGGAACCUCCUUA